AGCGAACGCUGGCGGCAGGCCUAACACAUGCAAGUCGAACGAACCUUUCGGGGUUAGUGGCGGACGGGUGAGUAACACGUGGGAACGUGCCUUUAGGUUCGGAAUAACUCAGGGAAACUUGUGCUAAUACCGAAUGUGCCCUUCGGGGGAAAGAUUUAUCGCCUUUAGAGCGGCCCGCGUCUGAUUAGCUAGUUGGUUGAGGUAAUGGCUCACCAAGGCGACGAUCAGUAGCUGGUCUGAGAGGAUGAUCAGCCACAUUGGGACUGAGACACGGCCCAAACUCCUACGGGAGGCAGCAGUGGGGAAUCUGGCGCAAUGGGCGAAAGCCUGACGCAGCCAUGCCGCGUGAAUGAUGAAGGUCUUAGGAUUGUAAAAUUCUUUCACCGGGGACGAUAAUGACGGUACCCGGAGAAGAAGCCCCGGCUAACUUCGUG
rnacentral:rRNA from 1 species